rnacentral:rRNA from 1 species
UACGACUACAUAUCAGGCAUAUCAAUAAGCGGAGGAAAAGAAACUAACUAGGAUUCCCUUAGUAACGGCGAGUGAAGCGGGAAGAGCUCAAAUUUGAAAUCUUCAAGGUUCUACCUUGACGAAUUGUAGUUUAAAGAAGUGUUUUCUGUUGGAGUUUUGGUAAAAGUUCUUUGGAAUAGGACAUCAUAGAGGGUGAGAAUCCCGUAUUUGACCAUUAUUUCCAACUUUGUGAUACACUUUCAAAGAGUCGGAUUGUUUGGGAAUGCAGUCCAAAAUGGGUGGUAAAUUUCAUCUAAAGCUAAAUACUGGCGAGAGACCGAUAGCGAACAAGUACCGUGAGGGAAAGAUGAAAAGAACUUUGAAAAGAGAGUUAAACAGUACGUGAAAUUGUCAAAAGGGAAGCGUUUGACACCAGUGUUGUUUUCUCGAAAAUCAAUUAAAAAUGGCGGGAUUUUGUGUUGUAUUGACUUUAUCAGCUUUCUGCACUUUUUUCCUGUCUUUUUUAAUGCACUUUUCGUUUAACAAGUCAACAUCAAUUUCUUUUGUUGUAAAAGGGUCAUUGGAAGGUGGCUUUCUUUUUGGAGAAAGUGUUUAUAGCCUUUGACUUCUGCAAUCGGAGAGAUUGAGGUCUGCAGCGUAGAUCCUUCGGGGUUAGAUGCAUUUGUGCUAAGUUAUAGUUUUUCAUAGACAACAUGUUGACUAUGAUUAAUCAUGUAGCUUACUCGCUUAUGCUAUUUUACCUACGCUUAGGAUGUUGACGCGCGUGUGUGCGUG